CCUAAAUUGGUGCAAUCUCUUAUCUAUCUCCAAGAUUGGCUUAGAAGUGAACCUAUUCCUAUUAAAGUUGAGGAAGACUUGGAGUAUCUGGAACAACUGGAACUUGAUUUGGCUAAUUCUGCAAAAAAUUCUACUAUUAUUGACAUAUAGUUGCAACCUGUGGCAUGUGUGGUUUGAUCAUGGCGCCUAAAUUACAAUCACAUGUUUGGGAUCACUAUGAAAAGGUGGAGGAAAUUGAAAGAGUGCGCAUAAUGAAAGGCAUUCACUGUGGUCGAAUUUACCAUUGCCACAUGAAGAAAAAUGAGACUUACGGAUUAUGGUAUCAUCUUCAUAAAUGCUUAGAUCAACAAGUAAAUAGACAAGUGAUGUUGCAGUAGUAACUUGCUAGUGAACUCUUUCGGUAGAUAAGCUGCUGGUUGACUUUUGAGUAUAGUGGAGAACUUUCUUAUGUUUCAUGCUACUUAAUGUAGUUAUUUUGCUGGUUUUGAGAUUCCAUUAGCAUGAAAAUUUUCUAACUUCUGGAUUACUCUUUUGGUUAUGUAAUAUUGCUUGUACUAAA